AUAAAGUUUAAUUCUAGCUUUAAAAUUUAGUUUAAUUUUUUAUUUUAUAUGUAAAUUUUUGUGUGAAAUUUAUAGAAUUUUAAAUAGAUUUUAUUAAUUUAUUAGGUCGCAAUAAUUAAUUUUAAAUAUUAAAGAAAUUUAGAUUUAGAAAUAAUUUUUAACAUUAACAAAAUUUGUGCCAGCAGUUGCGGUUAUACAAAUAAUGUAAUUAAAUUUAUUUGAUUAUAAUUAAUUUAAAUAUUGAUAGAUUUUAAAUUAGAUUUUAUUAGGUGAAAUUUUAAAAUUUAGUUAAAAUUAAUUUUAUUUAAUAAGGUUAAGAAAUUUAGUUAUUAGACUAGGAUUAGAUACCCUAUUAUUAUAAAUGUAAAUAGUAAUUAUUAAAUUAGUAUUUGUUAUGUUCAUGAAAAUUAAAGAUUUUGGCGGUAUUUUAGUCUAUUCAGAGGAACCUGUCCUAUAAUUGAUAUUCCACGAUUAAUAUUACUUAUUUUAAUUAGUUUGUAUAUCGUCGUAGGUUGAAUAUUUUUAAAGAAUUUAAAUAUUCAAAAUUUUUAAUUUUAAAAAGGAAAUCAGAUCAAGAUGCAGUUUAUAAAUAAGAAGAGAUGGGUUACAAUAAAUAUAUUUAAAUGGAUAUUAAUAUUUAAAUUUAAUUAAAAGUGGAUUUGAGGGUAAUUUUAAUUAGUUUAUUAAAAUGAUUUUAGCUCUAAAAUAUGUACAUAUCGCCCGUCGCUUUCAUUCUAAAAUGAAAUAAGUCGUAACAAAGUAGGCUUACUGGAAAGUGCGCCUAGAAUGA
rnacentral:ncRNA from 1 species